GUUCCUGCAGUGGCUUCAAUUCAAUCUUCUCUCUGUGAAUCUGCAGGUUAGAUGCUCAAUUUUUGUACAGUUAAUUGAAGCUUCGCUAUCUGGUUGGCGAAAUUUUUCAAGUUUUUGCCCAACUCGUUCCCUUGAAGCGAAAUGCAGAGCUGCAUUGAGCAAAGCUAGAUGAUGUUCCCCUCGCUAUCCAGUGCUUUUAUUGAGCUUUUGGACGUCGGGGAACUACAUUAUUUUAAUGUUUGUUUAUAGUUAUGAGGUUUGUUUUAGGACAUAUAUUGUGUAAUUGUAAGUUCUUUUCAUACAGAAGUAGGCUAUAUGUUGGGAUAAUCUAGUUGGGAUAUGCUGUCAUGUAUUGAAAUGUUACACUCAUGAAUGAAAAUGCAAGUUCUUUUUGCAAUUUGAAA